GGAGAAAGCAUGAAUGAGAACCCGGAAGCGUGUGCGUCACCGGAAGCAAGAUCACAACAUGCUGUUGAACGCCACCCUUUUAUACCACGGCCGCCCAAUCAUAGCAGCCAACCAAUUAGAGUCCCUUCUGCUACAGUAACAAAGAUCCUCCAAGUUGAAACCGAAAGCAAUUGUUUGCGCCAUUUUUCUUUACAUUUAUUGUUGGGUGCUACAGCAGGUGCGUCAUUAACGAGUGAGCAGACAUGCUGGUCCCACAGCUGCUCUUUGAAAAACUGCAAGACCUACCUAAUGAUGACUUUGAAACAUUUAAGUGGUACCUCUCAAUGAAGAUCUUGGACAGCUGCAAACCAAUUCCAAAGUCCCACCUGGAGAACAAAGGUCGUCGAGAGAUUGUGAGUUGUAUGAUAGAUAGCUACUGUGAAGAGCCGGCUGUGAAAGUCACUGUUGAGAUCCUGAGGAAAAUGAACGUCAACAACAUUGCAGACGCGAUACAGAGCAGGUUUGAAGAGGGGAGAACGCCUGCUCCCUCUUCCUCCUCCUCUGCUUCACAUCAUUCCGCUGGAACCACAAUUUCGGCUCAACAGGGAGCAUUCGUAAUCGCCCCGGCGAUCACCGGUUCCCACUCUGGACCAGUGAAUAUAAACAUCUAUAAAUAAUCUCAGUGGAGACUAGAAAGGAGGGCACAUUAUAUUUUCAAAUGAUUUCUUUCCCUUACAUGAACUGUGGUUUAGGUUAACUGGUGAUUCUAAAUAGGGCUGAGGUAUGGGUCUGUUCCACCCCGUAAUGCAUCGCCAUCUUUUCAGUGUGUACACCACUCAUCAGGUGGAUGUUUCUGUGUAGUUUAAACAGUGUAGUUACAUGUUCCUUGCAACACAGAAAUACCCUACAUAUACAAGGCUUUCUAAUGAUGCCCAAAAUUAUUUCAACUACAUUUGAUGACAUGUAAAAAAAAAAGACCCAGAACCUCGAGUAUAUUUUGUUUAAAAUUUUCACUCUGAUACUUUAAAGUAUGAUAAGCAACAACAAUACAAUCAAUCCAACUAAUGAUGGUGGCUUUUUAAUCUUUGUACCUGCGAUUUCUCUGGUGUAACAUAAACAAAUGUACUGAGGGAAAAAAAAGAAUUUUAUUUAUGAUUAAAUGUAGAAUGUCAUAUUGUGUGCUUUGUCAUAAUUUCACAUGCGUAUUUGUACAGGAAUUGUUAAAAUAGUUCCUGUCACACCAGGAAGUGCUGAUUUUCUUUCUCUUCGGCCUCCAUCAUGCUGUCUGACUGCAGACGGAGCCAAGUUCAUGAGACAUGAACUUUCAUUUGUACCAGAAAUAAACACGUUUAUACUCA